rnacentral:rRNA from 1 species
UACGUAGGGGGCAAGCGUUGUCCGGAUUUAUUGGGCGUAAAGCGCGUGUAGGCGGCCAGGUAGGUCCGCUGUGAAAACUCGAGGCUCAACCUCGAGACGUCGGCGGAAACCCUCUGGCUAGAGUCCGGAAGAGGAGAAUGGAAUUCCUGGUGUAGCGGUGAAAUGCGCAGAUAUCAGGAAGAACACCCGUGGCUAAGGCGGUUCUCUAGUACGGUACUGACGCUGAGACGCGAAAGCGUGGGGAGCGAACAGG